UACGUAGGGUGCAAGCGUUGUCCGGAAUUAUUGGGCGUAAAGAGCUCGUAGGCGGUUUGUCGCGUCUGCUGUGAAAACCUAAGGCUCAACCUUGGGCUUGCAGUGGGUACGGGCGGACUAGAGUGCGGUAGGGGUGACUGGAAUUCCUGGUGUAGCGGUGGAAUGCGCAGAUAUCAGGAGGAACACCGAUGGCGAAGGCAGGUCACUGGGCCGCAACUGACGCUGAGGAGCGAAAGCAUGGGGAGCGAACAGG
rnacentral:rRNA from 1 species